rnacentral:rRNA from 1 species
AUGAACGCUGGCGGCGUGCCUAAUACAUGCAAGUCGAGCGAACAGACGAGGAGCUUGCUCCUCUGACGUUAGCGGCGGACGGGUGAGUAACACGUGGAUAACCUACCUAUAAGACUGGGAUAACUUCGGGAAACCGGAGCUAAUACCGGAUAAUAUAUUGAACCGCAUGGUUCAAUAGUGAAAGACGGUUUUGCUGUCACUUAUAGAUGGAUCCGCGCCGCAUUAGCUAGUUGGUAAGGUAACGGCUUACCAAGGCAACGAUGCGUAGCCGACCUGAGAGGGUGAUCGGCCACACUGGAACUGAGACACGGUCCAGACUCCUACGGGAGGCAGCAGUAGGGAAUCUUCCGCAAUGGGAAAGCCUGACGGAGCAACGCCGCGUGAGUGAUGAAGGUCUUCGGAUCGUAAAACUCUGUUAUUAGGGAAGAACAAAUGUGUAAGUAACUAUGCACGUCUUGACGGUACCUAAUCAGAAAGCCACGGCUAACUACGUG